UUAGUAAAUACAGUGAAUGACUAUCAAAUGUGGACGUUAUUUUAACUUUUCUUCAAAAUAAAAUACAAAGAGGUGAAGAAGGAAGUUUUGUCAAAUUCCAAAUCUUCUAAGUUCACACCUGCAUAUUGAAAACACCAGAGGAGAUGGACUAUGAAUUCCCCUCCAAAUAGAACAUGUGAAAAUUUGGAAGCAGGUCAUUUGAUUGGUCAAGCUGGUGCAACGCUACCAGUGUUAUACACCAUGCAUGUACACCAUGCUGCUGUGUGACCAAGUGAGGGGCAUCACAAGGAAGGGGAAGAUAUCUAGAUCAUUCAUGGAGCCUUCAACAUCGUAUUAAAACCAAAUUAUAAAGAGAACUCAAGAAGCCAGAGUUUUACAUAUAGUCAUGACCAGUCAUGACAUUCAGCAAAUGAAUGAGUAUCUGAUGAAAAUUAGUGAGAGUUUUCAGAGAAUGGGAGAUACCGUCGGGACACCUUCACUAAGCCUGCUAUAUUAUACUACAACAAUAUAAUGACAAACAUUGCUGUUAUUCUCCCAAAGAACAUCAAAGAAAUAGUGAAGUCUUACAGUAUCUGAAGAAAAUCCUAGUCUUGCUUAUAGUAUUAUACCUGAAGGAAGUUUUGACCACUUGUCCUGAAGUUAUUCAUGCAUAAUAACAUGGGUCCACUAUGCACUACCAUGAAUAUGCUUCAAAUAAUUUAAAAAAAAGAAUUUAAUAAUGUACAUUCUUAAAUAAAAGAUAAAAAGUGUAUAAACAGUAGUCUCAUGUAAAAUGAU